GAUGAACGCUGGCGGCGUGCCUAAUACAUGCAAGUCGAGCGAACGGACGAGAAGCUUGCUUCUCUGAUGUUAGCGGCGGACGGGUGAGUAACACGUGGAUAACCUACCUAUAAGACUGGGAUAACUUCGGGAAACCGGAGCUAAUACCGGAUGAUAUUUUGAUCCGCAUGGUUCAAAAGUGAAAGACGGUCUUGCUGUCACUUAUAGAUGGAUCCGCGCUGCAUUAGCUAGUUGGUAAGGUAACGGCUUACCAAGGCGACGAUGCAUAGCCGACCUGAGAGGGUGAUAGGCCACCCUGGAACUGGGACACCGUCCAGACUCCUACGGGAGGCAGCAGUAGGGUAUCUUCCGCAGUGGGCGAAAGCCUGACGGAGCAACGCCGCGUGAGUGAUGAAGGUCUUCGGAGCGUAAAACUCUGUUAUUAGGGAAGAACAUAUGUGUAAGUAACUGUGCACAUCUUGACGGUACCUAAUCAGAAAGCCACGGCUAACUACGUG
rnacentral:rRNA from 1 species